UGGGUCUCAAAAACCUCACAUGGUUUUGUGUUGAAUCUCUCGGUUCUCUUUCUAAAUGUGAGGAUCUAUGCUUUAUUUUCUCACCUUUGUAUCUUCUGGAUGAUAUAUUUCCUAUGUUUUGUUGCAGUGUCAUGUAUUUGAAGAAAGUUCACUGAAAUUGAAGAAACAUUCUUAUUAUUGUCUCUUUAUCUUAUUUGCAUAAACAUACAAGCAAAGAUGGGAAGGAGAUGAUGCAACCUCCACAAUCUGCAGACCCCAUGGCUUCUUUAAGUAAGAUUUGCUUUUUAGUUUUCUUAUGAUGUACAAGGAGAACUUCCACAAGCCUUUUGUCGUCGGGCUGCUGUCAAAGGAUGUAUCUAUGGAGGAUGGGAGAAUGAUGACUCAGUCAGGGAGGCUGCAGUGAGUGGAAGGCAUCUUCAACACGCUGAGAAAACAGGACAAGAAGAGGACAAGUCAUUGGCAAGUUGAAGCUAAUGGAGACCACAUAUUUCUAUUUUGCUUGUACACCACAUUAGUUUUGUGUCAAUAAUUCCACACUCGCUUUGGGAUUUCUAUAUAUUUCACUCUUGUUCUCACAAACUAAUGCAACAAUCGUUUACAAUUCAACUCUUCUUCUUUAUACUCCAAGUGAUUUACCAAA